rnacentral:ncRNA from 1 species
GAAACGGCAAACCGCGGGAAACCGCGGGGCGCAAAGCUACGGGGGCUACGGCGGGAAGCAGAUCCCAUCCGCUAAGCCAGCCCGGCUGCCAA